GUCGGGUGUAGUGGCGCGUGCCUGUAAUCCAAACUGAUGGGAGGCUGAGGCUGGUGGAUUCCUUGAGUUCAGGGGUUCUGGGCUGCAGUGGACUAUGUUGAUCAGGUGUCCACACUAAGUUCAGUAUUGAUAUGGUGUUCCUGGGGGAGCUUGGGACCACCAGGUCGUCUAAGGAGUGUUGAACCGGCCCAGGUCGGAGACGGAGCAGGUCAAAGACCCCGUGCUGAUCAAUAGUGGGGUCGCACCUGUGAACAGACACUGCAGUGCAAUUUGAGCGAUACAUCGAGACUCAAUCUUUU
ensembl:misc_RNA Metazoa_SRP Metazoan signal recognition particle RNA